AUUGAACGCUGGCGGCAGGCCUAACACAUGCAAGUCGAACGCGAAAGUCCUUCGGGAUGAGUAGAGUGGCGGACGGGUGAGUAACGCGUGGGAAUCUGCCCUGUAGUGGGGGAGUAACGUUCCGAAAGGGACGCUAAUACCGCAUACGCCCCAAGGGGGAAAGCGGGGGAGUCUUCGGACCUCGUGCUACAGGAUGAGCUUGCGUCGGAUUAGCUAGUUGGUGGGGUAAAGGCCUACCAAGGCGACGAUCCGUAGCUGGUCUGAGAGGAUGAUCAGCCACACCGGGACUGAGACACGGCCCGGACUCCUACGGGAGGCAGCAGUGGGGAAUAUUGCGCAAUGGGGGCGAACCCUGACGCAGCCAUGCCGCGUGUGUGAAGAAGGCCUCGGUUGUAAGACACUUUCAGUGGGGAGGGAAAGGGACGGCU
rnacentral:rRNA from 1 species